UAAAAUAUUUCUAAAAAUAAUUUUUAAACCAAUAAUACCCCUAAAACAUUUGGGUAUAUUUGGGUCAAUGGAAAAAUUGAGAAAGAAGAAGGGCAAAUUGGAAAUUCAACAAAUGGAACGAGUGGAUGAUGACAACUUAUCCUCACUUUCUCCCAAUGAACCCCACGUCGACCCAUUCUCUUAUCUUCUUCUCUUCUCCACCACUCUUUUGGAGGUUGCUUUCCAGCAAUCUUAUAUGGGAGCUCUAGAUUUUCCUCUCUAUUCUUGGCCGUCAUAAAAACAAAGGUUCCAUGGUACUUGGUGGUGGACCUAGUAAUUUGACUUGCUUGUGUAAUGUCCAACUGAGGUAAAUUGGUGAACUUUAUGAGGUAAGUAUAUCUUUAAUGGGGGUUUUUGUAAACAAUCAUUAUUGCACAUUUGCACUCAAUUAUUUUAUGGUUAAACCCCAAUUUGGAACAUUGUCCUUGGUUUUCCUAAAAUGUACUAUGUGUACUAUUCUUGUUAGUUAAUUGUUUAUGGAAAAUGCAGGAAACAUGGCCAGUAAAUUUAUAUUUGAAAUUGCAUAUAAAGAAAUGCAUGAUUUGUUGGCAUGGAAAUUCUAAAGAUGUUUUAUAUUGACUUGUGUUAUUUGGAAAAUUGAUAGAAAACUUCCUGACAAAGAAUGGUUUUGUGAACCUGUGGAAAUAUUGGUUCGUUUUGGAAACCUUGUGGAAAUAUUGGUUAUUGAAGGUUUUCUUGGAAUUACUUGGAAAUAUGUUAUGAAAUUUAAUUACAUCAUACUUGUGAGCU